rnacentral:tRNA from 1 species
GCCACAGUCGCAUAACUCGGUAGUGCGCCGGUCUCGAAAACCGGUUCCUUACGGAAUUCUCGGUUCAAAUCCGAGCUGUGGCG